CACGUAGGCACCAAGCGUUGUCCGGAUUUAUUGGGCGUAAAGAGCUCGUAGGCGGUUCGGUAAGUCGGGCGUGAAAACUCUGGGCUCAACCCAGAGCCGGCACCUGAUACUGCUGUGACUAGAGUGCGGUAGGGGAGCGGGGAAUUCCUGGUGUAGCGGUGAAAUGCGCAGAUAUCAGGAGGAACACCAGUGGCGAAGGCGCCGCUCUGGGCCGUGACUGACGCUGAGGAGCGAAAGCGUGGGUAGCAAACAGG
rnacentral:rRNA from 1 species